rnacentral:rRNA from 1 species
GAACGCUAGCUACAGGCUUAACACAUGCAAGUCGAGGGCGAUCAGACGAUAGCUUGCUAUUGUUGCUGGCGACCGGCGCACGGGUGAGUAACGCGUAUCCAACCUGGCCCUUAGUAGGGGAUAGCCCGGCGAAAGUCGGAUUAAUACCCUAUGUUUUCCUUUGACGGCAUCUGAUUUGGAAUAAAGAUUAAUCGCUAAGGGAUGGGGAUGCGUCUGAUUAGGUAGUAGGCGGGGUAACGGCCCACCUAGCCAACGAUCAGUAGGGGUUCUGAGAGGAAGGUCCCCCACAUUGGUACUGAGACACGGACCAAACUCCUACGGGAGGCAGCAGUGAGGAAUAUUGGUCAAUGGACGAGAGUCUGAACCAGCCAAGUAGCGUGCAGGAUGACUGCCCUAUGGGUUGUAAACUGCUUUUAUGCGGGAAUAAAGUUCGGCACGUGUGCCGUUUUGUAUGUACCGCAUGAAUAAGGACCGGCUAAUUCCGUGCCAGCAGCUGC